AUGCAGUCGAGCGAAUGGAUUAAGAGCUUGCUCUUAUGAAGUUAGCGGCGGACGGGUGAGUAACACGUGGGUAACCUGCCCAUAAGACUGGGAUAACUCCGGGAAACCGGGGCUAAUACCGGAUAACAUUUUGAACUGCAUGGUUCGAAAUUGAAAGGCGGCUUCGGCUGUCACUUAUGGAUGGACCCGCGUCGCAUUAGCUAGUUGGUGAGGUAACGGCUCACCAAGGCAACGAUGCGUAGCCGACCUGAGAGGGUGAUCGGCCACACUGGGACUGAGACACGGCCCAGACUCCUACGGGAGGCAGCAGUAGGGAAUCUUCCGCAAUGGACGAAAGUCUGACGGAGCAACGCCGCGUGAGUGAUGAAGGCUUUCGGGUCGUAAAACUCUGUUGUUAGGGAAGAACAAGUGCUAGUUGAAUAAGCUGGCACCUUGACGGUACCUAACCAGAAAGCCACGGCUAACUACGUGCCAGCAGCCGCGGUAAUACGUAGGUGGCAAGCGUUAUCCGGAAUUAUUGGGCGUAAAGCGCGCGCAGGUGGUUUCUUAAGUCUGAUGUGAAAGCCCACGGCUCAACCGUGGAGGGUCAUUGGAAACUGGGAGACUUGAGUGCA
rnacentral:rRNA from 1 species